CUGGAGCGGAGUAGCUCUGUUGAACCACAGGAGCGGGAGCCGGAGCGGAGUAGCUCUGCUGAACCACAGGAGCCUGCUGGAUAACAGGGGCUUGCUGAAUGGUCUCUUGAACCACAGGAGCUGGAGCGGAGUAGCUCUGCUGAACCACAGGAGCCUGCUGGAUAACAGGGGCUUGCUGAAUGGUCUCUUGAACCACAGGAGCUGGAGCUGAGUAGCUCUGCUGAACCACAGGAGCGGGAGCUGGAGCGGAGUAGCUCUGCUGAACCACAGGAGCCUGCUGGAUAACAGGGGCUUGCUGAAUGGUCUCUUGAACCACAGGGGCUGGAGCGGAGUAUGUUUGCUGAACCACUGGAGCGGGAGCCGGAGCGGAGUAGCUCUGCUGAACCACAGGUGCUUGCUGAGCCACUGCCUGAACCACUGGCGCUUGCUGGACCACUGGAGCUGGAUAGGAAUAGGUCUGCUGAGCAACUGGAGCGGGAGCCGGAGCACUGUAGCUCUGAACCACCUGAGUUUGCUCCUGGACUGCUGGAGCUGGAGCGGAGUAAGUCUGCUGCGGUGCCGGAGCAGGGGCGGAGUAGGUCUGCUGAACGACAGGAGCAGGAGCUGGAGCAGAGUAAGUCUGCUGAAUGGCUGGGGCAGGAGCACUAUAGAAUUGUUCCUGAACUGGUGCUGGAGCAGGAGCAGGAGCGGAGGAAGUCUGCUGAACCACAGAAGCCGGAGCGCUGUAGUAUUGUUCCUGGGUCACUGGAGCGGGAGCUGAAUAAGUCAGCUGCUGCACGGCCUGCACAGGAGCGGCAGCGGUGUAGGUCUGUUCCUGUACAACUGGUGCUGGUGCGGAGUAUGUUUGCUGAACCACUGGAGCGGGAGCCGGAGCGGAGUAGCUCUGCUGGACCGCGGGAGCAGGAGCUGGAACGGAGUAGGUCUGCUGGAUCACUUGGUGCUGUUCCUGCACUGCAGGAACUGGAAUGGCAAUUGGUGCGGGUGCUGGAACAGGAGCGGCAGCUGGGGCGUUGUAAGUGGUCGUGAUGGUCUCCUGCUGUGGUGCAAUGUUCGCAACCACUGGCUCCGGAGCGGGCACAAAUUGCUGGACGGGAGCGGGUGGCAGAUAGGCGUUCUUCGCCGCCGUCUGGGUGGCAAUCACUGGCUUGGGUGCCUCAUAGAUCACCUGAGGAGCCGGCUGUUGAACCUCCACGGGAGCAGGGGCGGGAGCUGGAGCGGAGUUUACCACUGGAGCAGGUGCUGGAAUGGAAACUGGAGCUGGAGCUGGGGCUGGGGCACUCUGAUAUUGCUGCUGUCCACUCGACUGGAUGGUGAAGCUAGCCAGCGGAACCGAGGCCUGAAUGGACUCCACUUGGGGAUGGAUUUGCGACUGGAUGUGCUGCUGGAGCUGGGUCUGCACCAAUUGCUGGAAGCUCUGCGCUGCGGACACCUCCUUAACCGGCAAAGGUGGCAGAUACUGGGCACCCGGGCGUCCACUGACCACAACCAGGCUGAGAGCAGCCACAACGAUAAAUGCAAAGGGUUUCUGGACAAGAGAGCAAAAACGACACAUAUCACUUGGUAAAUCAAUCACUUUAAAAAAAUAUAUACGAGAGGGAUAUGAG
ensembl:ncRNA asRNA:CR45995 antisense RNA:CR45995